rnacentral:rRNA from 1 species
UACGGAGGGGGCUAGCGUUGUUCGGAAUCACUGGGCGUAAAGCGUGCGUAGGCGGCCAUUCAAGUCAGAGGUGAAAGCCUGGGGCUCAACCCCAGAAUUGCCUUUGAAACUAGAUGGCUCGAACACGGGAGAGGUGAGUGGAAUUCCGAGUGUAGAGGUGAAAUUCGUAGAUAUUCGGAAGAACACCAGUGGCGAAGGCGGCUCACUGGACCGUUGUUGACGCUGAGGCACGAAAGCGUGGGGAGCAAAC